rnacentral:rRNA from 1 species
GACGAACGCUGGCGGCGUGCUUAACACAUGCAAGUCGAACGGAAAGGCCCUGCUUUUGUGGGGUGCUCGAGUGGCGAACGGGUGAGUAACACGUGAGUAACCUGCCCUUGACUUCGGGAUAACUUCAGGAAACUGGGGCUAAUACCGGAUAGGAGCUCCUGCUGCAUGGUGGGGGUUGGAAAGUUUCGGCGGUUGGGGAUGGACUCGCGGCUUAUCAGCUUGUUGGUGGGGUAGUGGCUUACCAAGGCUUUGACGGGUAGCCGGCCUGAGAGGGUGACCGGCCACAUUGGGACUGAGAUACGGCCCAGACUCCUACGGGAGGCAGCAGUGGGGAAUAUUGCACAAUGGGCGGAAGCCUGAUGCAGCAACGCCGCGUGCGGGAUGACGGCCUUCGGGUUGUAAACCGCUUUCGCCUGUGACGAAGCGUGAGUGACGGUAAUGGGUAAAGAAGCACCGGCUAACUACGU